ensembl:lncRNA
CGUAAAUACGCAGACACAGAAGCAUGCGCCAGCCUUUAUCCAGUCAGUGACAUUCACCGAGCUGUCUGCAAAUACGGAUGCUAUUUUGUGCCAAGCGUUUGGUGGUCGGACGUGAGUAGGGCUUCCACAACAGCCAGCGCUCGAGGGGGCGGGACGUCAGCAUUGAGGUGAGAGCAGCGGCCAGCUGCUCAGCAUUAACAUCUCCCACCUGCCGCUGCCUUCCCAAUCAGGGGAGGUAUUUAGAAGUGGCCCUGAUGUGUCAUCCCUGCCGGAUUGUUAGUCUCGUUAUGAAGCGGCGCGCCGUCUUCACAACUCCGAGACGAAUUACAGGCGCUACGAACCGGAACAAGGCUAAGAUUUAAAGAAUAUGCUUUCAUUCUGCGGUAUAAGGGAAUAUAUACGUAUGGAUACCGA